UAAUUAAAUAAUCUCCGAACAACUGUAUCUAAGGAGUAAAUCUAUGAUGCUUUUGUCAAGCAGAAUGUAUGAUGAUAGUUUAAUAUACUACAUUUUGUUUCAGGGUUCUAUGGGAAACUAUAUUGCCUUCCGUGUUUGAAAAGGAGGAUUAUUUAAACUAAA
rfam:Clostridium butyricum E4 str. BoNT E BL5262 CLP.Contig65, whole genome shotgun sequence.